rnacentral:rRNA from 1 species
GAGCGGGGGAGGUAGCUUGCUACCGGACCUAGCGGCGGACGGGUGAGUAAUGCUUAGGAAUCUGCCUAUUAGUGGGGGACAACAUCUCGAAAGGGAUGCUAAUACCGCAUACGUCCUACGGGAGAAAGCAGGGGAUCUUCGGACCUUGCGCUAAUAGAUGAGCCUAAGUCGGAUUAGCUAGUUGGUGGGGUAAAGGCCUACCAAGGCGACGAUCUGUAGCGGGUCUGAGAGGAUGAUCCGCCACACUGGGACUGAGACACGGCCCAGACUCCUACGGGAGGCAGCAGUGGGGAAUAUUGGACAAUGGGGGGAACCCUGAUCCAGCCAUGCCGCGUGUGUGAAGAAGGCCUUAUGGUUGUAAAGCACUUUAAGCGAGGAGGAGGCUACUUUAGUUAAUACCUAGAGAUAGUGGACGUUACUCGCAGAAUAAGCACCGGCUAACUCUGUGCCAGCAGCCGCGGUAAUACAGAGGGUGCGAGCGUUAAUCGGAUUUACUGGGCGUAAAGCGUGCGUAGGCGGCUUAUUAAGUCGGAUGUGAAAUCCCCGAGCUUAACUUGGGAAUUGCAUUCGAUACUGGUGAGCUAGAGUAUGGGAGAGGAUGGUAGAAUUCCAGGUGUAGCGGUGAAAUGCGUAGAGAUCUGGAGGAAUACCGAUGGCGAAGGCAGCCAUCUGGCCUAAUACUGACGCUGAGGUACGAAAGCAUGGGGAGCAAACAGGAUUAGAUACCCUGGUAGUCCAUGCCGUAAACGAUGUCUACUAGCCGUUGGGGGCCUUUGAGGCUUUAGUGGCGCAGCUAACGCGAUAAGUAGACCGCCUGGGGGAGUACGGUCGC